AUUGAACGCUGACGGCAGGCUUAACACAUGCAAGUCGAGCGGGGGAAGUUGCUUCGGUAAUUGACCUAGCGGCGGACGGGUGAGUAAUACUUAGGAAUCUGCCUAUUAAUGGGGGACAACAUCUCGAAAGGGAUGCUAAUACCGCAUACGCCCUACGGGGGAAAGCAGGGGAUCACUUGUGACCUGGCGUUAAUAGAUGAGCCUAAGUCGGAUUAGCUAGUUGGUGGGGUAAAGGCCUACCAAGGCGACGAUCUGUAGCGGGUCUGAGAGGAUGAUCCGCCACACUGGGACUGAGACACGGCCCAGACUCCUACGGGAGGAAGCAGUGGGGAAUAUUGGACAAUGGGGGGAACCCUGAUCCAGCCAUGCCGCGUGUGUGAAGAAGGCCUUAUGGUUGUAAAGCACUUUAAGCGAGGAGGAGGCUCUUUUGGUUAAUACCCAAGAUGAGUGGACGUUACUCGCAGAAUAAGCACCGGCUAACUCUGUGCCAGCCGCCGCCGUAACAC
rnacentral:rRNA from 1 species